GAUGAACGCUGGCGGCGUGCCUAAUACAUGCAAGUCGAGCGAACAGACGAGGAGCUUGCUCCUCUGACGUUAGCGGCGGACGGGUGAGUAACACGUGGAUAACCUACCUAUAAGACUGGGAUAACUUCGGGAAACCGGAGCUAAUACCGGAUAAUAUAUUGAACCGCAUGGUUCAAUAGUGAAAGACGGUUUUGCUGUCACUUAUAGAUGGAUCCGCGCCGCAUUAGCUAGUUGGUAAGGUAACGGCUUACCAAGGCGACGAUGCGUAGCCGACCUGAGAGGAUGAUCGGCCACACUGGAACUGAGACACGGUCCAGACUCCUACGGGAGGCAGCAGUAGGGAAUAUUCCGCAAUGGGCGAAAGCCUGACGCAGCAACGCCGCGUGAGUGAUGAAGGUCUUCGGAUCGUAAAACUCUGUUAUUAGGGAAGAACAAAUGUGUGAGUAACUAUGCACGUCUUGACGGUACCUAAUCAGAAAGCCACGGCUAACUACGUG
rnacentral:rRNA from 1 species